rnacentral:lncRNA from 1 species
GAAAAGCUACAGGGAGCCUCCCUCCUACUGACUUGGCCAAUUUGAUCUUAUUGAGUUUCAAACUUAGAUUAAUUAAUGUAGACACUCCGAAGGCCUUCCUUCAUGCUUGGUCAAAAGAAUAUGUCAAGAUCUUAGUGAGCUUGUUGUGCUAUCUAUAAAGUUUACUAUAGAAAUUGAUAUGAUAUUUAUCUAAGUACAUAUUGAUGCUUAUGGCUUAUUUGAAUAGUAUUGUCUUGUUGUGCUAUCCAUAAGGGUAGUAUUGUUUAAGUAUGACCAUAUGGGAUUGAAGGAUUAACUUAAUAAGAACACUAUAGUUUGUUGUGCUAUCCAUAAGACUGAGUGAUUUAGAGGCAAGAGAGAAAAAUAUUGAGAAUUGUAUGAAGUACAAUUGGUAAAGAGUUACCUAGUCUUGAACUCAUGAAUGCUUGUUGUGCUAUCCAUAAGAUAUUUGUAAGGAAUAGAGAUCUCAACCACACUUAGAAACAUAAUGAUGUUUCUCAUUUUUCAUACUUAAAGACUAUAAAAUUUAUUAAAAUAGUGAGAGACAUAAUUAGAUAAAAGUCCUAAUCUAGUUGUGCAUGUCAUCAUGAGUUAUCUAUUUAUAUUGUGUUCUUGUUAUUAUAAAUUAACUGCAUAUAUGGCAUCCUCACUGUCACUGCGAGGUAUUUUAGAUGCUAACAAAUUGAUCGGAUCAAACUAUAUGAACUGAUUGAGAAAUUGAAGAAUAGUUCUCAAACAGGAGAAAGUCUCCUAUAUACUGGAUUCACCUACACCCGAUACGAUCAGAGAAGAUGCAUUUGAGGAGGAAAGGGCCACAUAUAAUAUCUAAAAGGAUGAUAGUGUGACUGUCAAAUGUAUCAUGCUUGCCUCAAUGAAUAAUGAGCUUCAGAGGUAGCAUGAGGAUAUGGAUGUU